rnacentral:rRNA from 1 species
GACGAACGCUGGCGGCGUGCUUAACACAUGCAAGUCGAGCGGUAAGGCCCUUUCGGGGGUACACGAGCGGCGAACGGGUGAGUAACACGUGGGUGACCUGCCCUUAGCUCUGGGAUAAGCCUGGGAAACUGGGUCUAAUACCGGAUAUGACCUCAUGACUCAUGUUGUGGGGUGGAAAGCCUUGUGCGGCUAGGGAUGGGCCCGCGGCCUAUCAGCUUGUUGGUGGGGUAAUUGCCACCAAGGCGACGACGGGUAGCCGGCCUGAGAGGGCGACCGGCCACACUGGGACUGAGACACGGCCCAGACUCCUACGGGAGGCAGCAGUGGGGAAUCUUGCGCAAUGGGCGAAAGCCUGACGCAGCGACGCCGCGUGAGGGAUGACGGCCU